rnacentral:rRNA from 1 species
GAUGAACGCUGGCGGCGUGCCUAAUACAUGCAAGUCGAGCGAACAGACGAGAGUGCUUGCACUCUCUGACGUUAGCGGCGGACGGGUGAGUAACACGUGGGUAACCUACCUAUAAGACUGGGAUAACUUCGGGAAACCGGAGCUAAUACCGGAUAAUAUUUAGCUUCGCAUGAAGCAAUAGUGAAAGACGGUUCUGCUGUCACUUAUAGAUGGACCCGCGGUGUAUUAGCUAGUUGGUGAGGUAACGGCUCACCAAGGCAACGAUACAUAGCCGACCUGAGAGGGUGAUCGGCCACACUGGGACUGAGACACGGCCCAGACUCCUACGGGAGGCAGCAGUAGGGAAUCUUCCGCAAUGGACGAAAGUCUGACGGAGCAAUGCCGCGUGAGUGAAGAAGGUGUUCGGAUCGUAAAACUCUGUUGUAAGGGAAGAACAAGUACGUUAGUAACUGAACGUACCUUGACGGUACCUGACCAGAAAGCCACGGCUAACUACGUG